UUCUUUGGAGAGUUUGAUCCUGGCUCAGGACGAACGCUGGCGGCGUGCCUAAUACAUGCAAGUCGAGCGCAGGAAAUCGACAGAACCCUUCGGGGGGAAGUCGACGGAAUGA
rnacentral:rRNA from 1 species